rnacentral:lncRNA from 1 species
UCAUAGGAAUGAGCAAUGUGUUUGAGCAUGCAUACCUUGGCAUUUUAUUGUGAUGAGUGUAUUUGAACUCAAAAUUCAAAAUGAUUCAAAAAGAUUUUGAAAUAAGUUUCAAAUGACUUUUGGAAUAAAAGAAAAAAUGAAAGAAAAGGAAAAUCUCUCCCUCUCUUUAUUCUGGCCCGAGAAGGCCCAACUCCUUCCCCUCUCCCCCUCGCCGCGGCCCAGCUUCCCCCUUCUCCAUGUGUGCAGCACCAGCCCGCC